AUUGAACGCUGGCGGCAGGCCUAACACAUGCAAGUCGAGCGAGCGGCGGACGGGUGAGGAAUGUAUGGGGACUGCCCGUUAGAGGGGGAUAACUACUGGAAACGGUAGCUAAAACCGCAUACGAUCGGAUAACCCAUAUGGGAUUAGCUAGUAGGUGAGGUAAUGGCCCACCUAGGCGACGAUCCCUAGCUGGUCUGAGAGGAUGAUCAGCCACACUGGGACUGAGACACGGCCCCGACUCCUACGGAUGCAGCAGUGGGGAAUAUUGCACAAUGGGCGCAAGCCUGAUGCAUCCAUGCCGCGUGUAUGAAGAAGGCCCUAGGGUUUUAAAGUACUUUCAGUCGGGAGGCGUGACCGACAGAAGAAGCCCCGGCUAACUCCGUGCCAGCCGCCGCGGUAAUAC
rnacentral:rRNA from 1 species